GUCUGCGCCCCUGUCACCCUGAACUCGCCUGAUCUUGUCUGAUCUCAGAAGCUGAGCAGGGUCGGGCCUGAUUGGUCCUUGGGUGGGAGAAAACACUUGGAGCCACGCACGUGCAGGGG
rnacentral:rRNA from 1 species